rnacentral:lncRNA from 1 species
CUUUUUGCCAUUUCUUGGGCUGCUCCUACAGCAUAUGGAGAUUUCCAAGCUAGGGGUCGAAUCAGAGCUUUAGCCACCCACCUAUGCCAGAGCCACAGCAAUGCAGGAUCCGAGCCGCGUCUGCAACCUACACCACAGCUCACGGCAACGCCGGAUCCUUAACCCACUGAGCAAGGGCAGGGACCGAACACGCAACCUCAUGGUUCCUAGUCGGAUUCGUUAACCACUGAGCCAUGAUGGGAACUCCAAUCUAAAGAGACUCACAGACUUUGGAAACAAAUUUAUGGUUACCAAGGGGGACAGGUUGUGGGGAGAGAUGGACUGGGGAUUUGGGAUUAGCAUAUGCACACUGUGGAAUAUGAACCAAUUGGACAAUGAGGACUUGCUGUAUAGCACAAGGAACUCUACCCAAUAUUCUGUAAUAAUCUAUAUUGGAAAAAAAUCUGAGAAAGCAUGUAUGUGUGUAUAUGUCUAAUUGAAUCACUUUUUUGUACAGCAGAAAUUAUAACAACAUUGUAAAUCAACUAUACUUCAAUAAAACUUCCAAAAACGGAAAAAAAAACCACCACCAAUUAAUAGGCAUUUUAAAAAUAUUUAAUCUGCCACCAAUACAAAAUGCACUCAUAAAAAUAUGUUUCCUGAAUCUACAACCAGCAUCUUAAAUUAAGUUUUACUCAUUACUGAAACAAAUAUUUGUUGCAAACAUUUUAAAGGGAUUUGUAAAAACAAUUAAAUGAGAAACUAUCAAAAUAUAAACUUAUUUUUACCUAGGUAAAAAUAUAAUAUAAACUUAUUUUUACCUUAGGUAAUAAGAAUGGUACUUAUCUCCUGCUACUCUCUAUUUUACCCUUUAUAAUCAAGCAACACCAAAAUGCUCAUGAUCCUUUUAAACACCACCACAUCUUAUACAUCUAUACCUUUGUGCUUAUUACUUUCUCUGCCCCAAUAUCCCUCAGGUAGUCACCUGGAUAGCCAGUUUUUAAGGUUUAUCAUAUCCUGUGUUCUUGUUCCCUGGUGACCCCACACUCUCCACCUGGACAAUUAGUCACUCUCUUCUCUAUACUACUGAGAACAUAACUUCAUGUAGUAUGUAUUUCUAAAAGAGUACACUGCACAUGUUAAUAUUUUUGUUAUAAUACUAAAAUUUAUUUAUUUAUUUAAUAAUUAUUUCUCCCACAAGACUGUCAGUUUCGUAACUGCAUGAACUAUAUCAGAUUCAUCUUUGUAUUUUCACAGUCUAUCUCAAUGCUUCAACGGAGUAGAUGUCUGGGUUGCUGAACUGAACUGUACCUUCUUAUUAUUUAUUGAAGAGGCAAACAGUAUACUUUUUCUUUUUCUUCAGUUUUAUGAGCCCAAUUGGUAAAAUGAAAUCAAAAGACAAAUAAAAGAAAUGAAAAUGUGAACUAUAAAAAUCCAAUCAGCCAGUUUUCACAUUUUUUCUACAAAUCUAAUUUACAAAGCUCUUUCUAUUUUUUUAUUUCAUGUUCUAUUAAGUAUAAUUACCUUGUUAAAUUUUCCUGUUGGCAUAGAUUGUCUAGAUGCUCCUUUUAAACAAAUGUUUGCAAGAAAAUAGGUGAGUAUGAUGAAAUCAGGUGAUACAAGAAUUUUUAACAUAUACAUAUAUGCAGAUAGUCAUAAUAAAAAUUUAUUUUUUCUUUCUUUUUUCCCUUUUUUUUUUGUCUUUAUUUUUUAGGGCCAUACCUGUGGCAUACGGAAGUUCCCAGGUUAGGGGUCAAACCAGAGCUGUAGCUGCCAGCCUACACCACAGCCAUAGCAAUGUGGGAUCCAAGCCACAUCUGUGACCUAUACCACAGCUCACAGCAAUGCUGGAUCCUUAACCCAUUGAUUGAGACUAGGGAUCAAACCCGCCUCCUGAUAGAUAUUAGUCAGAUUCGUCACUGAUGAGCCAUGCGGGAACUCCCUAAAAAGUUAAAUAAAUGUUUUUAUGUUAAGACCCAAGUGAUUACUAAUAGCUUAGCAUGCUCACUUAAGUGUUAACAAGAAGUGAUUACUUAAUAGAAUGGUCAUCUCAUUAGUGAAUGUCACACAUCAAUUGGGGCAGAUAUUUUUGCAUGGAGAAUGUGCCAGCAUGCUAAAAUACCAUGACAUAUGCCAUAACUACUUGGACUACAGGCACAUUUCAUUCUAGUGCAGGUCUUACCUUAAUCCUAUUUUUUUUCUAUCCCUUCAUAUGGAUACAUGCACCAUCCACAUAUAAUAAAUUACAUAGAAAAAUUAUUUUUAGAUAUUUCCUUUCUCUCAUUUCUAAAUAACAGAGUAAUCACUCUCUUUUCAACAGUUUACUUCUAAUCAGCUCCAUCCAUCUUCUACUACUUCUAUUGUGG